UCUCCGUAGGUGAACCUGCGGAGGGAUCAUUACAGAGUUCAUGCCCUACCGGGUAGAUCUCCCACCCUAUGUUAUUAUUACUUUGUUGCUUUGGCCGGCCGUUAGGCUCCGGCCCGACUACCGGCCCCGGCUGGUAAGCGCCCUCCGGAGGACCCAAAACCCUGAAUAUUAGUGUCGUCUGAGUACUAUAUAAUAGUUAAAACUUUCAACAACGGAUCUCUUGGUUCUG
rnacentral:misc_RNA from 1 species